rnacentral:rRNA from 1 species
CAGCCGCCGCGGUAAUACGUAGGUGGCAAGCGUUGUCCGGAAUUAUUGGGCGUAAGGGGCUCGCAGGCGGUUUUCCAAGUUAGAUGUGAAAUUCCUGGGCUCAACCUGGGGACUGCAUUUGAUACUGGGAGGCUUGAGUAUGGAAGAGGGUCGUGGAAUUCCCAGUGUAGAGGUGAAAUUCGUAGAUAUUGGGAAGAACACCGGUGGCGAAGGCGGCGACCUGGUCCAUAACUGACGCUGAGGCGCGAAAGCGUGGGGAGCAAACAGGAUUAGAUACCCGUGUAGUCCCUGUCUCUUAUCC